rnacentral:rRNA from 1 species
UGGAGGAAAGCAGGGGAUCGCAAGACCUUGCGCUUUUGGAGCGGCCGAUGUCUGAUUAGCUAGUUGGUGGGGUAAUGGUCUGCCAAAGCUUCGAUCAGUAGCUGGUCUGAGAGGGCGGCCAGCCACACUGGGACUGAGACACGGCCCAGACUCCUACGGGAGGCAGCAGUGGGGAAUUUUGGACAAUGGGCGAAAGCCUGAUCCAGCAAUGCCGCGUGAGUGAAGAAGGCCUUCGGGUUGUAAAGCUCUUUCAGUCGAGAAGAAAAGGUUGUGACUAAUAAUCACAACUCAUGACGGUAUCGACAGAAGAAGCACCGGCUAACUACGUGCCAGCAGCCGCGGUAAUACGUAGGGUGCGAGCGUUAAUCGGAAUUACUGGGCGUAAAGGGUGCGCAGGCGGCUUUGUAAGUCAGAUGUGA